GCGCCUGUAGCUCAGCGGAUAGAGCGCAGCCCUGCGAAGGCUGAAGUCGUGAGUUCAAAUCUCACCAGGCGCGCCA
rnacentral:tRNA from 2 species